GGGUAGAUGUCCGAGUGGUUGAAGGAGCACGCCUGGAACGCGUGUAGGUGUAACAGCCUCGUGGGUUCGAAUCCCACUUUACCCGCCA
rnacentral:tRNA from 2 species